CGCCCCGGUGACUCACGGCCCCGGACGGUGACGCGCGGCCGUCGAAACCCCCGCGGGGAUGGCAAACCCAGCUUGGGGGGCCCCCAGCCUCCAUUUUAUGAAGGCCACGAGACGAGGAGAUGAUGAGACGAGGACCCCCCCCCAUGGGGAAACUGAGGCUGGGGGCUGCCUCCCCUCCAAGCCCGGCUCUCCCGAGUCCCAAACCCGCCCCGGCCCCCCCCCGAAACGCCUCCGUGCCCCCCCCCGCCGCGCCGUGUGCGCUUGGGGGAGCAGCGGGCGCUGAUCGCUGCUGACAGCGGCGCCGCGCUCGCCGGCGGUUUCGGAGGGGCCGCGGGGCCUGAUCCUUUCCGCUCCCCUCGCGCCAUGAUCAUCCGGCCCCGACGCCUCACCCCGGGGUAUUUCCGCCUGCUCCAGAUGCAGCUGGCGGCGGGGCAGGGAGCUGAGCCCAAGGACCGGGCGCUGCCCCCCCUGGCCCUGCUGCUGGCAGCCGCCGGGCUCUGCCUCUCCCUCUACAGCGCCCGGAGGAUGGCCAGCCCCGCCAAGGCCCCCCCCGAGCCCUGAGCUGGGGCCAUGGGGACGGUCCCCAGGUCCCCAGCCAGGCCCCGGCUUCCCCCCCUGCCCGAGGGGAGCUGCUGGAUGCGGCCCCCACCUCGCAGCCCUGCCACGUCCUGCGCUGCCCCUCCACGCCUCGGCCGCAUGAUGCCAAGGAGCUGAGGGACACUCGCGCCUCUGCCUGCUUUGGGAAAUGGAGAAAUCGACUUGAGACCCCAAAAAGACGCAGCCAACAGGUUCCAGGGCCACCAGCGCAGCCCCGGGACUCACUGCCAUGACGUUGAGUCCCGACCAGGCAGCAGGAUGCGGCCACUACGAGACCGGAGGCUGAGCGGACGGACAGACCCCCCUGUUAGAGGGGUUUGGGGUUCCUCACACCCUGCUCUUCCCUGACCCUACCGGCGGCACGGGGACGCGCUGUGCCUGCCGCCAGCCCUGCCACGGCCGGGGGAAAGGAGGUCAGCGCUGAGCGGCGUUAGGUAACGCGGCAGGGAGGGCUGGGACCGGGAUCAGCCUCCGAAAUGAGGGGACACGGGGCCAGCUCCUGCCUGGGCCUCGAGGUAAAGAGCACGGUUCAGGCAAUGCUUCCCCAAGGACGGGCACAUCCCCCUGGGACCAGCGGCCACAGCUUUCCCCUUCCCCGUGCCCGCCGACCCCACGCGGAGCUGGGCACGGAGCUGCGCCCAGCAGAGGGCUGGCUGCUGACAGACGGCUGGCUGCAGUCGCCCUGGUCUCCCCGGGCAGGGGGGGACAAAUCCGGGCAGCUUGCAUGGAAAUAAAUCCUUUCCUUCUGAGCAAAGCCGCGCUGUCGUCAUGCUGCCUCCCUGCUGCUCGGCAGGAAGGACAGAGCCCCAGGAGCUGGUUUAGCUGCGUCGGCUGAGCCCGCUCUGCGGGAACUCGCAGCGGUGGCACCCGGGGCCACGCGGCAGCACGGGGUCACAUCACCCCUGGGAUCAGCUGCAGCAGGCUGGGGGACGCAGCGAGGGGGCUGGAUCGUGCCAUACACACGGCCCCAGCCCUCUAGGAGCAUGAAAUCACCUCCGUGCAGUGAGUUUUAGGGCAUCGAACUCAGUGGUAUUGUUUUCAGAAGCC